rnacentral:rRNA from 1 species
CCUACGGGUGGCUGCAGUGGGGAAUAUUGGGCAAUGGGCGCAAGCCUGACCCAGCAACGCCGCGUGAAGGAAGAAGGCUUUCGGGUUGUAAACUUCUUUUGUCAGGGAAGAGUAGAAGACGGUACCUGCCGCAUAAGCCACGGCUCACUACGUGCCAGCAGCCGCGGUAAUACGUAUGUGGCAAGCGUUGUCCGGAUUUCCUGGGUGUAAAGGGCGUAUAGCCGGGUUGACAAGUUAGAUGUGAAAUCCUGCGGCUUAACAGCAGAACUGCAGUUGAAACUGUUGAUCUUGAGUACUGGAGAGGCAGAUGGAAUUGCUAGUGUAGCGGUGAAAUGCAUAGAUAUCACACAGAACACCGAUUGCGAAGGCAUCUCACGAAGCCGCGAUUGACGCUGAUGCACGAAAGCGUGGGUAUCAAACAGGAUUAGAUACCCGAGUAGUC